GUGAAUCAUCGAAUUUUUGAACGCAAAUUGCACUCUCUUCGAAGAGUAUGCCUGUUUGAGUUUCAGCCUAAAAAAAAUCGACGUAGCCGCUGUUUCGCGGUGACAUUCGUCGGAAAUUGGGUCAUCUUAAACUUUUGUGUUUUUUAAGUGGCUUAAAAUUUUUUUUACGAUUUCACGAAGGCUUCUAAGAUUUUACUUGUUACACACGUUUAAGGUAUCGAUCUUUAUUAGACGUGUCCCUUGCAUCGUAUCUCGUCUAUAAAUAUUUCGUUAACUGACCUCAUUAAGGUAAUAA
rnacentral:misc_RNA from 1 species